GUUGAAACGCCUGUUCCCGUACGAUCAGCAAAGUUAAGCAGUGACGAGCCUGUUCAGUACUUAGAUGGGUGACAGCUUGGUAAUACCAAAUGCUGUAAG